UAGGGAAUCUUCGGCAAUGGACGAAAGUCUGACCGAGCAACGCCGCUUGAGUGAAGAAGGUUUUCGGAUCGUAAAACUCUGUUGUUAGAGAAGAACAAGGACGUUAGUAACUGAACGUCCCCUGACGGUAUCUAACCAGAAAGCCACGGCUAACUACGUUCCAGCAGCUGCGGUAAUACGUAGGUGGCAAGCGUUGUCCGGAUUUAUUGGGCGUAAAGCGAGCGCAGGCGGUUUCUUAAGUCUGAUGUGAAAGCCCCCGGCUCAACCGGGGAGGGUCAUUGGAAACUGGGAGACUUGAGUGCAGAAGAGGGGAGUGGAAUUCCAUGUGUAGCGGUGAAAUGCGUAGAUAUAUGGAGGAACACCAGUGGCGAAGGCGGCUCUCUGGUCUGUAACUGACGCUGAGGCUCGAAAGCGUGGGGAGCAAACAGG
rnacentral:rRNA from 1 species